rnacentral:rRNA from 1 species
GAUGAACGCUGGCGGCGUGCCUAAUACAUGCAAGUCGAGCGAACAGACGAGGAGCUUGCUCCUCUGACGUUAGCGGCGGACGGGUGAGUAACACGUGGAUAACCUACCUAUAAGUCUGGGAUAACUUCGGGAAACCGGAGCUAAUACCGGAUAAUAUAUUGAACCGCAUGGUUCAAUAGUGAAAGACGGUUUUGCUGUCACUUAUAGAUGGAUCCGCGCCGCAUUAGCUAGUUGUUAAGGUAACGGCUUACCAAGGCGACGAUGCGUAGCCGACCUGGGAGGUGGAUAGGCCACACUGGAACUGAGACACGGUCCAGACUCCUACGGGAGGCAGCAGUAGGGAAUCUUCCGCAAUGGGCGAAAGCCUGACGGAGCAACGCCGCGUGAGUGAUGAAGGUCUUCGGAUCGUAAAACUCUGUUAUUAGGGAAGAACAAAUGUGUAAGUAACUAUGCACGGCUUGACGGUACCUAAUCAGAAAGCCACGGCUAACUACGUG